rnacentral:hammerhead_ribozyme from 1 species
AGCGGCUGACGAGUCACAAAUAGGACGAAACGCGCGUCCUGGGU